rnacentral:tRNA from 1 species
CAGGAAAUAGUUUAGUGAGAAUGGUGGCUUUGGGGGCUACUGGUAUAGGUAUAGAGUCUUAUUUUUUUGA